UUUGGACUGAUUUCAACUGUCGAAAACAAGAACCACCAGAGUCGAAAACCACCAGAGUUGAGAAGAGCCACCAGAAAGUUGAGAAGAGCCACCAGAGAGUCGA